UCUGCCCCGAGAGCAUUGCCGGUGUGGCUUCUGUGUCACAUGAGCAUCAGUAGGUGGCAGAGAGAAGAAAGGCUGAGAGUGUGUGUGUGUGUGUGUGUGUGUGUGUGUGUGUGUGUGUGUGUGUGUGUGACCUGUGUACAUCUGAAUGGUGACUAGUCUAACAUU
ensembl:snoRNA LOC120094004 small nucleolar RNA SNORA17